rnacentral:tRNA from 1 species
AAGCACAUGGCUUAGUGGUUACGAGUACUUGGCUUCCGAUCAUAAGGUCCUGAGUUCGAUUCUCGGUGGUCUGU